GGGUCGUUGGCAGAGCGGAUAUGCAGCCGCCUUUUAAGCGGACUUAUCCAGGUUCAACCCCUGGGCGACCCACCU
rnacentral:tRNA from 1 species